UUUGUUCUGUAGGUCCGUGAUGUAGGAUUCAAUAUUCUCCGACGGUCCUUGAGCCCUUGUGAAGAAAACGUGACGGAUGUAAGAUGACUCCCAAAGAACAGCAGAGAUUACAAGAAACCUGGGAGUGUUAUGGGUAGGCUCUGUUUUCCCUGUCCCAGCCUGUUUUCCUCUUCCCCUUUUCCUUGUGUGUGUUGUCUGUGUUUGUCUCCACCUGCUGUGCAAGUGUCGCGCUCACAGAGGAUCCUGGCCAAGGGGCGUGGCCACUCUCUCCUGCUCUGUUUCCAGCCAGCUGCAGCACAUUUCCAUUAAUCAACCAGCAGAAAUCAACCCGGGCUGUUCACCUCUUCAGCACCAGUUUGUUACAACAUUACCCUUGAUUAUGCUCCGACAUUGCUGCCUGUUCACCUGCUGCCUGCUCACCUGUUGCCUGCCCACCUCGCCUCCUGGAACCACUCCACCCUGAACGAUUCCCCUUUGUUUAAUUCCGGUUGUGUGAAUAAACACUUCA